GUACUACUCUCAGAGUUUGAUCCUGGCUCAGGAUGAACGCUAGCGACAGGCCUAACACAUGCAAGUCGAGGGGCAGCGCGGAGCAAGCUUGCUUGUUCUGGCGGCGACCGGCGCACGGGUGCGUAACAGGUGUGCAAUCUGUCCAUAAUUGGGGAAUAGCCCAGCGAAAGUUGGAUUAAUGCUCCAUGUGAGUAAGAGAGGCAUCUCUUUUAUUUGAAACGUAAGGAUUAUGGGUGAGCACGCUUCUGAUUAGGUAGUUGGUGAGGUAACGGCUCACCAAGCCGACGAUCAGUAGGGGUUCUGAGAGGAAGGUCCCCCACAUUGGAACUGAGACACGGUCCAA
rnacentral:rRNA from 1 species